CACGUAGGCACCAAGCGUUGUCCGGAUUUAUUGGGCGUAAAGAGCUCGUAGGCGGUUCAGUAAGUCGGGGUGUGAAAACUCUGGGCUUAACCCAGAGACGCCACCCGAUACUGCUGUGACUUGAGUACGGUAGGGGAGCAGGGAAUUCCUGGUGUAGCGGUGAAAUGCGCAGAUAUCAGGAGGAACAUCGGUGGCGAAGGCGCUGCUCUGGGCCGAAACUGACGCUGAGGAGCGAAAGCGUGGGUAGCAAACAGG
rnacentral:rRNA from 1 species